UACGAAGGGGGCUAGCGUUGCUCGGAAUCACUGGGCGUAAGGGUGCGUAGGCGGGUCUUUAAGUCAGGGGUGAAAUCCUGGAGCUCAACUCCAGAACUGCCUUUGAUACUGAAGAUCUUGAGUUCGGGAGAGGUGAGUGGAACUGCGAGUGUAGAGGUGAAAUUCGUAGAUAUUCGCAAGAACACCAGUGGCGAAGGCGGCUCACUGGCCCCGAUACUGACGCUGAGGCAC
rnacentral:rRNA from 1 species